rnacentral:rRNA from 1 species
GCAAGCGUUACUCGGAAUUACUGGGCGUAAAGCGUGCGUAGGGGGUUUGUUAAGUCUGUUGUGAAAGCCCCGGGCUCAACCUGGGAAUGGCAAUGGAUACUGGCAAGCUAGAGUGCGGUAGAGGGUAGUGGAAUUCCCGGUGUAGCGGUGAAAUGCGUAGAGAUCGGGAGGAACACCAGUGGCGAAGGCGGCUACCUGGACCAGCACUGACACUGAGGCACGAAAGCGUGGGGAGCAAACAGG